UACGUAGGGGGCAAGCGUUGUCCGGAUUUAUUGGGCGUAAAGAGCGUGUAGGCGGCUUGGUAGGUCCGCUGUGAAAACUCGAGGCUCAACCUCGAGAUGUCGGCGGAAACCACUUGGCUAGAGUCCGGAAGAGGAGAGUGGAAUUCCUGGUGUAGCGGUGAAAUGCGCAGAUAUCAGGAAGAACACCUAUGGCGAAGGCAGCUCUCUGGGACGGUACUGACGCUGAGACGCGAAAGCGUGGGGAGCGAUCCGG
rnacentral:rRNA from 1 species